rnacentral:rRNA from 1 species
UGGUGGAGUGAUUUGUCUGCUUAAUUGCGUUAACGAACGAGACCUUAACCUGCUAAAUAGUUGUGCAAUCUACGGAUUGUAAAUUUGCAACUUCUUAGAGGGACUAUGGAAGCUAAUUCCAUGGAAGUUUGAGGCAAUAACA